rnacentral:rRNA from 1 species
AUACUUAGGGUGCAAGCGUUAAUCGGAAUUACUGGGCGUAAAGCGUACGUAGGCGGCUUGGUCAGUCGGAUGUGAAAGCCCCGGGCUUAACCUGGGAAUUGCACUCGAUACUGCCAGACUAGAGUUUAGUAGAGGAAUGCGGAAUUCCGGGUGUAGUGGUGAAAUGCGUAGAUAUCCGGAGGAACAUCAGUGGCGAAGGCGGCAUUCUGGGCUAAAACUGACGCUGAGGUACGAAAGCGUGGGGAGCAAACAGGAUUAGAUACCCCGGUAGUCC